AACAGCAUGCAGGAGGGAACUGCUGUUCAAAGCAGAAAAAAGGAGGAGAGAACAGAAGUGUUGGUGUUCAGCUGGCUUUCUUCCUCUGCUCCCUUUUCUUCCAUCUGGACCUUCUAGACAUGAUGAUGCUGACAGCAUUUGGAGUCAGCCUUCUCUCUGUCUCUCUACCCUUUCUAGAAAUAGCUUUCAUAGAUACAGCCAGAGAUGUACCUCAUUGAUCAUGCAGACCCCUUCCCAGUUUGACAAGCCCCAAGGAGGCAGCCUAUAAGCAACACAGGAAAUGCAAGCCAUCUGUAUCAGAG
rnacentral:lncRNA from 1 species